AGAACGAACGCUGGCGGCAUGCCUAAUACAUGCAAGUCGAACGAACUCUUCGGAGUUAGUGGCGCACGGGUGCGUAACGCGUGGGAAUCUGCCCCUUGGUUCGGAAUAACAGUUGGAAACGACUGCUAAUACCGGAUGAUGACGAAAGUCCAAAGAUUUAUCGCCAAGGGAUGAGCCCGCGUAGGAUUAGCUAGUUGGUGAGGUAAAGGCUCACCAAGGCAACGAUCCUUAGCUGGUCUGAGAGGAUGAUCAGCCACACUGGAACUGAGACACGGUCCAGACUCCUACGGGAGGCAGCAGUGGGGAAUAUUGGACAAUGGGCGCAAGCCUGAUCCAGCCAUACCGCGUGGGUGAAGAAGGCCUUCGGUUGUAAAGCCUUUGUUGGGAAAGAAAAGCAAUCGGUAAUACCGGUUGUUCUGACGGUACCCAAAGAAUAAGCACCGGCUAACUUCGUGCCAGCAGCCGC
rnacentral:rRNA from 1 species